AGAGUUUGAUCCUGGCUCAGAACGAACGCUGGCGGCAGGCUUAACACAUGCAAGUCGAAGGUGAAGCGGGGCUUCGGCCCCGUGGAAACUGGCGCACGGGUGAGUAACGCGUGGGAAUCUACCCCGGGGUGGGGAAUAACCGCUGGAAACGGCGGCUAAUACCGCAUACGCCUUGCGAGGGAAAGCUUUAGCGCCCUGGGACGAGCCCGCGUCGGAUUAGCUUGUUGGUGAGGUAACGGCUCACCAAGGCUUCGAUCCGUAGCUGGUCUGAGAGGAUGAUCAGCCACACUGGGACUGAGACACGGCCCAGACUCCUACGGGAGGCAGCAGUGGGGAAUAUUGGACAAUGGGGGCAACCCUGAUCCAGCCAUGCCGCGUGCGUGAAGAAGGCCCUAGGGUUGUAAAGCGCUUUCGGCGGGGAAGAUGAUGACGGUACCCGCAGAAGAAGCUCCGGCUAACUCCGUGCCAGCAGCCGCGGUAAUACGGAGGGGGCUAGCGUUGUUCGGAAUUACUGGGCGUAAAGGGCGCGUAUGCGGAUUGUCAAGUCAGAGGUGAAAGCCCUGGGCUCAACCUGGGAACUGCCUUUGAAACUAACGGUCUACAGUCCGAGAGAGGAUGGCGGAAUUCCCAGUGUAGAGGUGAAAUUCGU
rnacentral:rRNA from 1 species